rnacentral:rRNA from 1 species
ACGCUCGACACCUACAGGAGGCAGCAGUGGGGAAUAUUGCACAAUGGGGGAAACCCUGAUGCAGCGACGCCGCGUGGAGGAAGAAGGUCUUCGGAUUGUAAACUCCUGUUGUUGGGGAAAAAGAGGAUGGUACCCAACAAGGAAGUGACGGCUAACUACGUGCUAGCAGCCGCGGUAAUCUGAGCGGGCUGGCAAGGC